UUCAAGGUGUUGAAGUAGUGUGACAUGAUCAACUGUUAAUAAAACCCAGUUGGGUUGUAUUUCACUUACUAAUUACUUCCACAUAGCCUGGGUUUCUGUUUUCUUUAAAGUAUAUCCCUGAAUAACUUUGAGGUCAAACUAGCAGACCUGUCACUACCUGGAUCAUUUUCCUCUUUUCUAUGUUAACAGUUUUCUGGUUGUUUGGUUUCACCUUGAGCUUGGUCAUGUUCCUCUCUCCCAUGCAAUUCUCUUUUCCAUCUUUCAGUUUUCUUGGAACUCUGGAAGGGUUUCUGGAGAAACUUGUGGACUAAGCUCUUUCUGUCUCAUCGACAAGGACCAAUGUCCUUCAUCUGUAAAGAUCUGAGACACCUGACAGCCACAGAACAACGCACUCUUCAGUAAGUACCCAUUUUGGUUACAGCUCUUCAAGACAGCGAAAUAAAGAUUGAAAAGACAAAGAGAAUUAUGGGAGUGAGAAAAAUGAAGUUAACAUACAAGGAUAAAUUGACAGGUAUAGAUUUCUGUGAUUGCAUAAUAUGAAAAAUUAAAGAGCUUUUAUGA